rnacentral:rRNA from 1 species
UACGUAGGGCGCAAGCGUUGUCCGGAAUUAUUGGGCGUAAAGAGCUCGUAGGCGGCUUGUCGCGUCGACUGUGAAAACUUGGGGCUCAACCCCAAGCUUGCAGUCGAUACGGGCAGGCUAGAGUUCGGUAGGGGAGACUGGAAUUCCUGGUGUAGCGGUGAAAUGCGCAGAUAUCAGGAGGAACACCGAUGGCGAAGGCAGGUCUCUGGGCCGAUACUGACGCUGAGGAGCGAAAGCGUGGGGGAGCAACAGG